rnacentral:rRNA from 1 species
AAAGAUUAAGCCAUGCAUGUCUAAGUAUAGCAUCUAUACCGUGAAACUGCGAAUGGCUCAUUAAAUCAGUUAUCGUUUAUUUGAUAGUACCUUACUACAUGGAUACCCGUGGUAAUUCUAGAGCUAAUACAUGCUAAAAACCCCAACUUCGGGAGGGGUGUAUUUAUUAGAUAAAAAACCAACGCCCUUCGGGGCUCCUUGGUGAAUCAUAAUAACUUCUCAGAUCGCAUGGCCUUGCGCCGGCGACGGUUCAUUCAAAUUUCUGCCCUAUCAACUUUCGAUGGUAAGGUAUUGGCUUACCAUGGUUU